rnacentral:lncRNA from 1 species
AUGAACUUGGGGGACGCAAACGUUCAAGCUGUAGCAGCAGCUUUGUCAUUUCCCUAUUGCGGGUCCACCCAUGAAGGGACUCCGCUCCCCUGGGCUCUGAAGUUCUCUUUAUUCUCUUGCUGGUCUCUUGGCCCCUCAACAGCUGUCGCGCGUGUUUUCCCUGCCCUGAUCUCUGACAGGAGCCCUUUCGGGACAGUCUCUUCAUUUAACCGUCUACUCCAAAUUCUGUUUCUUGCCGGGACCCUCACUAGGACAGAGAGGCGUCAGGAUGGGGCGCAGGGUCUGGCCCAGGUAUCAGCUCCUGAAAAGAUGAGGCCAUGCUGGGGUCAGUGCCUGGAGAGCUGUGGCAGGUGACGCAAACGAGUGACAGCCUGGGGAACAUCCUCGCAUAGAAUCACGUGAUUUCCACAUUACGUGUGCAAGAACCAGCCUCGCUUCCAAAAGGUAGGCUGUCCUCUGUUUUCUUGAAACAUGCAGCCUUCUCAGAUUGUGUAUCAUUCCUCCACGUUUGACAGCAACACAUUUUAAGAAUGUA